rnacentral:rRNA from 1 species
CAGUAGCCGCGGUAAUACGAACCGUGCGAACGUUAUUCGGAAUUACUGGGCUUAAAGCGCGUGUAGGCGGGCCGCCACGUCGGUUGCUGAAAUCCCCCGGCUCAACCGGGGAAGUGGCAUCGAUACGAGCGGCCUUGAGGGGGGUAGGGGGAUCUGGAACUUCCGGUGGAGCGGUGAAAUGCGUUGAGAUCGGAAGGAACGCCCGUGGCAAAAGCGAGGUCCUGGACCCUUUCUGACGCUGAGACGCGAAAGCCAGGGGAGCGAACGGGAUUAGAUACCCCAGUAGUCCCUGUCUCUUAUA